GUGCUCAUUUCGGCAGCACAUAUACUAAAAUUGGAACGAUAUAGGGAACAUUAGCAUGGCCCCUGCACAAGGAUGGCAUGCAAAUUCAUGAAUUGUUCUGUAUUUUU